ACGUAGGGGGCGAGCGUUAUUCGGAAUUACUGGGUGUAAAGGGUAUGUAGGCGGCCCUUCAAGUCGCGUGUCAAAGUCCAGUGCUCAACGCUGGGUGUGCACGCGAUACUGACGGGCUUGAGGGGUGGAGAGGUGAGCGGAAUUCCCGGUGUAGUGGUAAAAUGCGUAGAUAUCAGGAGGAACACCAGCGGCGCAGGCGGCUCACUGGACAAUUUCUGACGCUAAGGUACGAAAGCGUGGGGAGCAAACAG
rnacentral:rRNA from 1 species